CAGCAGCCGCGGUAAUACGAAGGGGGCUAGCGUUGUUCGGACUUACUGGGCGUAAAGCGCACGUAGGCGGACUUUUAAGUCAGGGGUGAAAUCCCGGGGCUCAACCCCGGAACUGCCUUUGAUACUGGGAGUCUUGAGUUCGAGAGAGGUGAGUGGAAUUGCGAGUGUAGAGGUGAAAUUCGUAGAUAUUCGCAGGAACACCAGUGGCGAAGGCGGCUCACUGGCUCGAUACUGACGCUGAGGUGCGAAAGCGUGGGGAGCAAACAGGAUUAGAUACCCGCGUAGUCCCUGUCUCUUAUAC
rnacentral:rRNA from 1 species